GCAGCGACGACGAGUAGAGGAAGCUAGCCGCCACUGGCACUGCUUCCGAUUUAUAAUUGCAACUGUUUUUGUGUGGUGGCGAAUUAAAUUUUUGCUACUAUUGUGUACUGGUGGAGCUCAUAUUUAUUACGGAAUCAAAAGAUUCGGUCCGGUAGAUUUGACAGGAAGAAAAACUGACACGUUCAAAAAUGCAUCUUCAGGAGUGGCUGGGGUCAAUGGAUUACCUCGUCGGUAGUUUUGGAAACUACCACAGCUUCUCUCGGGCUGAACGAUGAAUAACUUUUUUGAUUUUGAGGACACCUGUCACUUGUGCGCUAUUCAAUCUUCCCAGAUUAAUGAAUAGGUUUAAAAUAAAUUGAAAAUGAAAUAAAAAUAAAAAUCGAUUCAAUUAA